rnacentral:rRNA from 1 species
AUUGAACGCUGGCGGCAUGCUUUACACAUGCAAGUCGAACGGCAGCGCGGGCUUCGGCCUGGCGGCGAGUGGCGAACGGGUGAGUAAUACAUCGAAACGUGCCCAGUAGUGGGGGAUAGCUCGGCGAAAGCCGGAUUAAUACCGCAUACGACCUGAGGGUGAAAGCGGGGGAUCUUCGGACCUCGCGCUAUUGGAGCGGCCGAUGGCAGAUUAGCUAGUUGGUGGGGUAAAGGCCUACCAAGGCGACGAUCUGUAGCUGGUCUGAGAGGACGACCAGCCACACUGGGACUGAGACACGGCCCAGACUCCUACGGGAGGCAGCAGUGGGGAAUUUUGGACAAUGGGCGAAAGCCUGAUCCAGCAAUGCCGCGUGUGUGAUGAAGGCCUUCGGGUUGUAAAGCACUUUUGGCGGGAACGAAAAGGACUGUGCCAAUACCACGGUUCGAUGACGGUACCCGCAGAAUAAGCACCGGCUAACUACGUG